GACUCUGUAGCUCAAGUGGUAAAGCACUGGUCUUGUGAACAAGUGGUCGUAAGUUCAAUCCUCACAGUAGACA